AACGCGAAGAACCUUACCAGGCCUUGACAUCCCUUGCAAAGUCUUAGAGAUAAGAUAGAGGUUAUCAAGGUGACAGGUGGUGCAUGGUUGUCGUCAGCUCGUGUCGUGAGAUGUUGGGUUAAGUCCCGCAACGAGCGCAACCCUUGUCUUCAGUUACCAUCAUUAAGUUGGGGACUCUGGAGAGACUGCCGGUGAUAAACCGGAGGAAGGUGGGGAUGACGUCAAAUCAUCAUGCCCCUUAUGGCCUGGGCUACACACGUACUACAAUGGCGUAUACAACAAGAUGCAAUACCGUAAGGUGGAGCUAAUCUAUUAAAAUACGUCUCAGUUCGGAUUGAGGUCUGCAACUCGACCUCAUGAAGUUGGAAUCGCUAGUAAUCGCAGAUCAGCAUGCUGCGGUGAAUACGUUCUCGGGUCUUGUACACACGC
rnacentral:rRNA from 2 species